AUUACCGCGGCUGCUGGCACGUAGUUAGCCGUCCCUUUCUGGUAAGCUACCGUCACAGUGUGAACUUUCCACUCUCACACCCGUUCUUGACUUACAACAGAGCUUUACGAUCCGAAAACCUUCUUCACUCACGCGGCGUUGCUCGGUCAGGGUUGCCCCCAUUGCCGAAGAUUCCCUACUGCUGCCUCCCGUAGG
rnacentral:rRNA from 1 species